rnacentral:rRNA from 1 species
UACGUAGGGGGCAAGCGUUGUCCGGAUUUAUUGGGCGUAAAGAGCGUGUAGGCGGCUAGAUAGGUCCGUUGUGAAAACUCGAGGCUCAACCUCGAGACGUCGAUGGAAACCAUCUGGCUAGAGUCCGGAAGAGGAGAGUGGAAUUCCUGGUGUAGCGGUGAAAUGCGUAGAUAUCAGGAGGAACACCGGUGGUGUAGACGGCUUUCUGGACCGUAACUGACGCUGAGACACGAAAGCGUGGGUAGCAAACAGG